rnacentral:tRNA from 1 species
GAAAGAUUAGUUAAAAUAAUAAUAGAAUGUCAAUCUAUAGUUGUUGGCUGUAGGCCAACAUCUUUUA